AGCUCUUUUUAGGUUGGGUUCUUCUGUGUAGUUCUGGGUUGUUUAUCCCCGUCCUCCAGAUGAUUUUUACCUGACCAGAUCACUUCAAUGCUCUCCUGAACAACGGCAUCAUCCCAGCUUAGAGCAUCACGGUGAUCCUGAAAAAUCUUUGCAAACACAAACCAGCAGCAGAGAGAAGGAUUUCUCUUUCAAGAUCUUCAUUUGCAGUCGCCCGGUCCUUCUCCGAUGGGAGGAUUAAUAACCCACCGAAUGACUGGAGCGUGUGUUAGAAAGUAUUAUAUCAAUUAAAAUAUAUUAUGCAAUUAAACACUGAGGACCUGCAUGUUAAUUUCCAUGGCCGGUGGCAUUCGAGUAAAUGAGGUGACUGGGGUUUUCUUGGAAGCAGAUAAAGCUUCAGGAAAGGUUUGCAAAUUAAAAAUAUGAAUAAAUAAAUAAAAUCCCUGGAGGUGCCAAAAAAAAAAAAAAACAUAAACAGAAUCAAAUAUUGAACAAAAGGGGAUUUAUCUCCAUCUAUUGAUGCAUUUAUUUAUUUUUUUUAUCUCUUACAUCUGAAACUAUUUUUAGUUAUAAAAACAGGAAAUAGCCAUUUUGCUACAAACUAAAUUGGGAAUUUACAGUAGAUAUCCCAUAAUACGUAAGGUAGAGAAAGGGAACUAAAUCUAAAUCUAUGGGAAAUGCUUAAAAAAAAAAAA